AGUGAACGCUGGCGGUAGGCCUAACACAUGCAAGUCGAACGGCAGCACAGUAAGAGCUUGCUCUUACGGGUGGCGAGUGGCGGACGGGUGAGGAAUACAUCGGAAUCUACUUUUUCGUGGGGGGUAACGUAGAGAAACUUACGCUAAUACCGCAUACGACCUACGGGUGAAAGCAGGGGAUCUUCGGACCUUGCGCGAUUGAAUGAGCCGAUGUCGGAUUAGCUAGUUGGCGGGGUAAAGGCCCACCAAGGCGACGAUCCGUAGCUGGUCUGAGAGGAUGAUCAGCCACACUGGAACUGAGACACGGUCCAGACUCCUACGGGAGGCAGCAGUGGGGAAUAUUGGACAAUGGGCGCAAGCCUGAUCCAGCCAUACCGCGUGGGUGAAGAAGGCCUUCGGGUUGUAAAGCCCUUUUGUUGGGAAAGAAAAGCAGCAGGUUAAUACCCCGCUGUUAUGACGGUACCCAAAGAAUAAGCACCGGCUAACUUCGUG
rnacentral:rRNA from 1 species